rnacentral:lncRNA from 1 species
UCGUGCCCUGAUUUUUUUUCUGUCUUAUAUUCAAGGGUCACAGUUUUCCUCUCACCAUCAUUACAGUCUUUUCCCAUAACAUGUGACAUGCCUGUUUGUCUUGGUUGAGUAUUUAUUUGCAAUACAUGAAUGGCUGUUUUCUUUGAUACAUUAGUAUACAUUAGUGACUUACAUACUUUUUUUUUUUUCUGAGAUGGAGUCUUGCUCUGUCACCCAGGCUGGAGUGCAGUGGCACGAUCUCAGCUCACUACAACCUCUGCCUUCCAGGUUCAAGUGAUUCUCCUGCCUCAGCCUCCUGAGAAGCUGGGAUUACAGAUGUGCGCCACCACACCCGGGAGGUUGAAAACACUGUUUCUGGAAAAUCUAUGGAAGACAGGUUGGAAACACUUCUUUUUGGAGAACCUACAAAGAGACACUUUGGAGACCAUUGAGGCCUGUAGUAAAAAUACAAAUGUCCCAUGAUGAAAACUAGAAUAAGUUUUAUGUGAAAAUGCUUUGCAAUGAGUGGAUUCAUCUCACAAGGUUAAAGCUUUGUUUUGAUUUAGCAGAUUGGAAGCACUAUUUAUGGGGAAUCUACAAAGGGACAUUUUGGAGCCCACUGAGGCCUCUUUAAAAAAUCAAAUGUCCCACAAUGAAAACUAGAAAUAAGCUAUCUGUGAAAAUGCUUUGUGAUGUAUGGAUGCAUCUCCCAGAGUUAAACCUUUGUUUUUAUUCAGCAGGUUGCAGACAGUCUAAUUCUGGAAUGUGUUAAAAGACAUUUCAGGGCCCAUUGAGAACUAUAAUAAAAAACCAAAUAUUCCUUGAUAAAAACUAUAAAAAUCUAUCAGUGAAAAUCAUUUGUGUUGUGUGGAUUCAACUGAGAGUUAAAAUUGUUUUGAUUCAGCAGGUUGGAAAAACCCUUUUUUAGAAUCUAUGAAGUGACAUUUCACAGCCCAUAGAGGCCUAUAGUUGUAAAACCUAAUAUUCUGCUAUAAAAACAGGAAACAAGCUAUCUGUGAAAAUACUUUCCAAUGUGUGGAUUUAUCUCACAAAGUUAAACCUUUUUUUUGUUACAGCAAGUCGAAAACACUUUUUUUGAAGAACAUUCAAAGGAAUAUUUUGAAGCCAAUUGAGGCCUGCAGUGGAAAACAAAAUAUCUUAUCAUAAAAACUUGAAACAAGUUAUCUGUGAAAAUGCUUUGUGAUGUGUUCAUUCAUCUGACAGAGAUAAACCUUUAUUUUGAUUCAGCAGGUUGGAAACACUCUUUUUGUAGAAUCUAGGAAGGAACAUUUUGGAGCCCAUUUAGGCCUCUAGAGAAAAACCUAAUAUCCUGUGAUAAAAACUAGAAACAAAAUAUCUGUGAAAAUGUUUUAUGAUGUAUGAAUUCAUCUAUCAGAGAUAAAACAUUUUUUGAUUCAGCAGGUUGGAAAAACUCUUUGUAGAAUCUAUAAAGGGAUAUUUCAGAGCCCAUUGAGGCCUACUGUGGAAAAUUGAAUAUUCUGCAAUAAAAACUAGAAACAAG